GAUGAACGCUGGCGGCGUGCCUAAUACAUGCAAGUCGAGCGAACAGACGAGGAGCUUGCUCCUCUGACGUUAGCGGCGGACGGGUGAGUAACACGUGGAUAACCUACCUAUAAGACUGGGAUAACUUCGGGAAACCGGAGCUAAUACCGGAUAACAUGUUGAACCGAAUGGUUCAACAGUGAAAGACGGUCUUGCUGUCACUUAUAGAUGGAUCCGCGCCGCAUUAGCUAGUUGGUAAGGUAACGGCUUACCAAGGCAACGAUGCGUAGCCGACCUGAGAGGGUGAUCGGCCACACUGGAACUGAGACACGGUCCAGACUCCUACGGGAGGCAGCAGUAGGGAAUCUUCCGCAAUGGGCGAAAGCCUGACGGAGCAACGCCGCGUGAGUGAAGAAGGUCUUCGGAUCGUAAAACUCUGUUAUUAGGGAAGAACAAAUGUGUAAGUAACUAUGCACGUCUUGACGGUACCUAAUCAGAAAGCCACGGCUAACUACGUG
rnacentral:rRNA from 1 species